rnacentral:sRNA from 1 species
UAGUUGCUGUGGGUCUUAUAUUGUUUGGACUAACCAUUGGAUGCUCUAUAGUGCCAACUAUGAAAUGUUUAGUCAUAGGAGCCAGAGAGCUUGGAUUUCCAGAUAAUCUAAGUACCUUUGGAAUGGUCUCUGGACUUUUUAAUGCUACCUACUGUUUGGGCCCAAACCUCCCACAGGACAACAUGGGGAUGGUGGCCAUCAGGUUUCCAACACAGGACCAUU